GGGUGCAUAGCUCAGCUGGUUAGAGCAACGCCCUUCUAAGGAGUGUGUCCGGGGUUCGAAUCUCUGUGCGCACACCA
rnacentral:tRNA from 1 species